AACGAACGCUGGCGGCAGGCUUAACACAUGCAAGUCGAACGGAUGUAGCAAUACAUCAGUGGCAGACGGGUGAGUAACACGUGGGAACCUUCCUCGUUGUACGGAACAACUCAGGGAAACUUGAGCUAAUACCGUAUAAGUCCGAGAGGAGAAAGAUUUAUCGCAAUGAGACGGGCCCGCGUCGGAUUAGCUAGUCGGUGGGGUAACGGCCUACCAAGGCGACGAUCCGUAGCUGAUCUGAGAGGAU
rnacentral:rRNA from 1 species